rnacentral:tRNA from 1 species
GGGAAUGUAACUUAAACGGUAGAGUGUCUUAUUGCGCAAUAAGAAAGUUUUGGUUCGAAUCCAAAUAUCCCUA